UUCCCUUCUUGUGCCCUUGUCAGAGAAGUGGAUCUGGGACCCAGCCUCGUCUUUCCCCCCUGACUUGAUAGGCAUGGGAAGCGACGGUGGAGGGAACUUCAGAGCUGGGGGAAGUAGAGGGAGGAUUGCCUUUUAUUUUGAGUAUCUUUCUUUGGACUUUUGCAUUUAUAAUAUUUCUAUUUUUGAAAGGAUCAUUUUGUUCCUUUUUCUUUUAGCAUAUUUUCUUUAGAGCAACAGAGGCUUUUGCAAUAUGGAAAAAGUGACAUUUGAUCUGAAGGAGUGUGGAGGGGAGCUCUGAGUGUGGGGGACUGACCUUUACUAACCACCUACCCAGAGCGGAGGCUGGAGAAGCGCGAGCUGAGCCUGCAGCAGUGAUGUCUGGUGCCCUCCACAGGCCAAAUUUUAUUGCCUUGACCUUUCUUCAAAUGAGAUGAUCUUCUGGGCCUCCUUACCCUGUACCCCUACUCCAGGCACUGGAUUUGAAACCUGUUACCCGGGAAGAAGCUCCAUGGAGUCAGAGCUGCAGAAAUCGGGCCACAGAAUCCUACCCUAAGAGCACCGAGAGAAAGAGAAAUGCCCUCAGUGAAAUACUGUCACCGGGAACUGGACUGAGAACCAAUUACCUCUCAUCAGAAUCAAAUCCAUCCACAAAGAACUCUGAUGCUAACUUCUCCUGGAGGAAUCGAUCCCAGCAUUCCUUCUUGGCUUGGGCCAAGGUUCGAAGCAUGU